rnacentral:misc_RNA from 1 species
GAUGAAGAACGUAGCGAAAUGCGAUAAGAAGUGUGAAUUGCAGAAUUCAGUGAAUCAUCGAAUCUUUGAACGCACAUUGCGCCCCUUGGUAUUCCAUGGGGCAUGCCUGUUCGAGCGUCAUUUGUACCUUCAAGCUCUGCUUGGUGUUGGGUGUUUGUCUCGCCUCUGCGUGUAGACUCGCCUUAAAACAAUUGGCAGCCGGCGUAUUGAUUUCGGAGCGCAGUACAUCUCGCGCUUUGCACUCAUAACGACGACGUCCAAAAGUACAUUUUUACACUCUUGACCUCGGAUCAGGUAGGGAUACCCGCUGAACUUAAGCAUAUCAAUAAGCGGAGGA